UUCCCAGAGCCAACUGGUAACCAACAUGAAUCAGGAUCAUGAACCCUUGGAGAGAAAAACUAUCCUGAUAUCUGGGUAACCAGAUAAUGUAUCCAUGGAAAGAUUAAAGUAUAACUUUUAAAACUGAACUGUUUUGUGUGGGUUUUCAUGUAAUUUACAACUUUUUGUCAAAUCUGGUUUUAAUUGAGUCUACAUGCACAUGCGAAAGAAAUCUGAACGGAUGAGUUUUUCUGCUUUCAGUGAGGGGGGGGGGGGGGGGGAAUGUAAUCUUUGAGUUGAGCCUUUUUUCUUAUCCCUUUGCUCAAACUGACUAACAGUGAUGUAAGACCACAGCCUAUUGUGCUUCUACCUCAAAUGAACCGAAACACACAUGCAAGAGGUUUACCUUGGCAUUGGAAUCCUUGUUUCCCAAAUCCCCUGCAACAAAAAACAGUGUUCAGUACAAAGCUUGCUUUAGUUUGUCAAUACAGCAAGUCUUUCAGAAGCUUGGAAUGUAA